rnacentral:misc_RNA from 1 species
GUAUAAAAAGAAAAGUUCAAAAAACUUGAUAUUGUGCUCAAAACUAUGAGGGAUGGUUCAUAUGUCUGGCUGAGUUGAAAUGGUUUCUCUUCGCGGCCUGUGUUUCCUCCACUUUUUCUUGGUCAGAGACAUGAUCCACUCCGGAACCUCACCACCAGAAGACGUAAUAACAUUUGCGAUGUUCCUCAAAAAGGGAAUAUCUGCUUCAGUAUAAAAUGUUAUCGCCUGUCCACUCCUUCCUGCUCUGCCAGAACGUCCAAUUCUGUGAAUAUAUGCUGCAGCAGCGUCUGGGAAAUCAUAAUUUAUCACGCAGUUGACCCCUUUGAAAUCCAUACCCCGGGCAACAACAUCAGUGGCAAUUAAAACCCAUGUUUUUCCAGCUCUAAAGUUAUCGAUAGCAUUUUCUCUCUGUAUCUGAGAAAGGUCUGAAUGGAUAACAUCUGCUCGAAUAUCUUCCAAUUUUAACUCGUCAUAUAGCUCCUUGGCACGCUCCUUGUUUUGAACGAAUACUAGCACUGGUGGGUUUAAACUCUCUGCAAAGCUUUGACGAA